GGAACGAACACGGAGAUUAACGGACGGACGGCACUCGGCAAAGCACAAGUACAGCGAUGUAAACACUGAAGUGCAGCGCAACAGUUAACAGCGGCCACUCGCGAGCGCGGCUGAAACGGAACUGAGACCACGGCGCUGCUUGACUUUCAGCCUCCUUGAUGUUGCUUAUCUUCGCAAGGACUACUCAGUGUGCUCGGUUGUCUUGGACACUCCUAAUGUCCCCUGUGACAGGUCAGCCAGCAGCGACAAACUCAUUAGUAUCGGGGUGGACACCCACCUUCCAGGCAACGAGAACAGCAGCUCAUCAUCGACGAUGUUUUCUUUUUCUAUUGUGGUGGGCAUCCGCAUACUAUAAGCACAGCCAACACACUAGCAGCACCACGUGCCGACGUCACGGGCACAGAGAAGACAUCACCUAUUGGCUGGAGACGCUGUGGCUCUGCUGUUACCACAACAGAAACAUUACAUCAUUGUGAGGCUACAUCAGUACAGUCAGAAAUGUUUACCUGGCAUUUAAAACUGAUUUUUGUUUACAAUAAACAAAUUAUUUGAGCAA